rnacentral:ncRNA from 2 species
UGCUUAUUAAGAAAGACGGAGGGAUUAGACCCAACGAAGUCUUAGCAACCUGUGCCAACAAGGUGCUACAUUCUAAUCUCGGUUAACCGGGAGAAAGAUAAGUU